GAACCUUUGGAAGACAUUAAACAUCCCAAUUAUAGGAAGCCCUAGUCCUAAUAUUGUCCUUCUGGCAUGUCCUUCACAAUGUUGUAGGGUCUACUGCUCAAUGAUCCCUGGAAGAAACCCAACUGCUACAAAGUAGAUGGCUAAAGCCUCUUGCCAACAGCUUCAUCAGUGACCCUGGCAGUUGGCCUCCAUUUCCUUCAGCUGCUCACAUCCCUGGCCUACAGGCUUGACUACCAAGCCAUGCAGUUAAGAAAUCCCUGGCCCCUUCUCUUUCAUGGUUCCCAUGAAUCACAGAGACAACCAGCUCUUCAGUAAAGGACCAAACUAAAGACCAGUUCCCACUGGACAACAACUGCACAGUUCACAAACCUUCAGAGGAAUGGAGGAGCUGUGCCUUGGUCAUCUGUGAAUCUCAGUACCUAAUAAUAAUGCUUCAUGCAAAGGAGAGUCCAGCUAAUGCCAAGCAGUUGUAGAGGCAUGAUCCACUUGAAAGCUAAGAGGAAAAUGUUCUGGUAGAAAUCAUAGAAGAAACCAAUCCUAAAACUGACUGACCUCCUCCAAGAGCAACUUCUGUGUCCACAGAACCAGAAAG
rnacentral:lncRNA from 1 species